rnacentral:rRNA from 1 species
GACAGAGGGUGCAAACGUUGUUCGGAAUUACUGGGCGUAAAGCGCGUGUAGGCGGAUGGGCAAGUCUGCUGUGAAAGCUCCUGGCUUAACCGGGAGUGGUCGGUGGAAACUGCCAAUCUGGAGGACGGUAGAGGCUGGUGGAAUUCCCGGUGUAGUGGUGAAAUGCGUAGAGAUCGGGAGGAACACCUGUGGCGAAGGCGGCCAGCUGGGCCGGACCUGACGCUGAGACGCGAAGGCGUGGGGAGCGAACGGG